rnacentral:snoRNA from 1 species
UCUGCCCCUAGAGGCUGUGCAGGUGUGGCUGCUGUGUCACAUGUGCUCAGUGGGUGGCAGAGAGGAGAGAGAGACUAUGUCUAUGCUCAGUGUUCUGACAUUCAGACAUCUGAAUGACUAGUGCCCUAACAUU